UACGGGGGGAGCAAGCGUUGUUCGGAUUUACUGGGCGUAAAGCGUGCGCAGGCGGUUCGUUAAGUCAGAUGUGAAAGCCCCGGGCUCAACCUGGGAACUGCAUUUGAAACUGGCGGGCUUGAGUAUGGCAGAGGGGGGUGGAAUUCCGCGUGUAGCAGUGAAAUGCGUAGAGAUGCGGAGGAACACCGAUGGCGAAGGCAGCCCCCUGGGCCAAUACUGACGCUCAGGCACGAAAGCGUGGGGGGCAAACAGG
rnacentral:rRNA from 1 species